GCAAAACGCGAAGAACCUUACCAGGUCUUGACAUCCCAAUGACCGCUCUAGAGAUAGAGUUUCCCUUCGGGGACAUUGGUGACAGGUGGUGCAUGGUUGUCGUCAGCUCGUGUCGUGAGAUGUUGGGUUAAGUCCCGCAACGAGCGCAACCCUUAUUCUUAGUUGCCAUCACUUAGUUGGGCACUCUAAGGAGACUGCCGGUGACAAACCGGAGGAAGGUGGGGAUGACGUCAAAUCAUCAUGCCCCUUAUGACCUGGGCUACACACGUGCUACAAUGGACGGUACAAAGAGCUGCGAACCCGCGAGGGUAAGCCAAUCUCAUAAAACCGUUCUCAGUUCGGAUUGUAGUCUGCAACUCGACUACAUGAAGCCGGAAUCGCUAGUAAUCGCGGAUCAGCAUGCCGCGGUGAAUACGUUCCCGGGUCUUGUACACACCG
rnacentral:rRNA from 1 species